AGAGGAAGUAAAAGUCGUAACAAGGUCUCCGUAGGUGAACCUGCGGAGGGAUCAUUACAGAGUUCAUGCCCUCCGGGUAGAUCUCCCACCCAUUGCUAUAACUACUCUCGUUGCUUUGGCGGGCCGCUGGGCCCUGCCCGGCCGCCGGCCCCGGCUGGCGCGUGCCCGCCAGAGACCUCACAGACUCUGAAUGUUAGUGUCGUCCGAGUAACUAUACAAUCGUUAAAACUUUCAACAACGGAUCUCUUGGUUCUGGCAUCGAUGAAGAACGCAGCGAAAUGCGAUAAGUAAUGCGAAUUGCAGAAUUCAGUGAGUCAUCGAAUCUUUGAACGCACAUUGCGCCCUGUGGUAUUCCGCAGGGCAUGCCUGUUCGAGCGUCAUUUCAACCCUCAAGCCUCGCUUGGUGUUGGGCCCUGCCCGCCGCGGCCGGCCCUAAAGACAGUGGCGGCGCCGCCUGGCCCUCAGCGUAGUACAUCUCUCGCUCCAGGGUCCGGCGGCAGCCUGCCAGAACCCCCCAACUCUGUGGUUGACCUCGGAUCAGGUAGGGAUACCCGCUGAACUUAAGCAUAUCAAUAA
rnacentral:rRNA from 1 species